rnacentral:misc_RNA from 1 species
GUCUGGAUUUUACUCUUCACCGAUAUUAAAUUGGAAAAUUGUACGGUACACAAAAAACCUGUGCCACUAUAAAUACACUUUUAACGACCGGAUUCCUAUCCCUUCCUUAAGACUUUGGACUUAAAAUGAUUAAUUUCCUAGCUCUGGACAUAAGAGAAGUUAAGUUAGCACCUGUCAUAUGCAGAGAUGAUAUAUUAAUUAAGCUGUUGCUUAGGCAAGU